UAUUUUGAUAAAAAUGCUGAUAGGGUUUUAUCUGUAGAAUGAAGGCAGAUGUGAAAGGCUUUUUUAAAUGUAUUUAUUUUUUUGUCUGUUUCAGCCAAUCGUCCACCUCCUCCUGUGGAGAACAUUACACCCCCAGAGGAAACCAUGUUUCUUCCAGAAGCCUGAAAAACAGAAACAGACAAACACAAAGAUACGACACCACUGUGGUGGGUCUCUUCUCCAUCAACGAUGAGAACCACCACAGACACGAGGUCCACGAUCUGACACAGUGAUGCUCCAGGAACAAAAUCAUACUGAAGACCAAAGAGGUGAUAGUGGACUACAUGAGGUCAAGGAAGACUGGACACACUCUUCUCUGCAAACAGGGGGAGGUGGUGUUCCGUGUGGAUAAUAUAAAGGUCCUAGCCAUUCACAUAUUUUCUUUAGUUCUGUUAUCAUCUAAUGUAGAAAGUACUCCUGGGUCAAUGUGAGCUUCUGAGCUUUCUGUGUCUCUGCUCUGUCUCCUCUAAG